rnacentral:rRNA from 1 species
GACGAACGCUGGCGGCGUGCUUAACACAUGCAAGUCGAACGGAAAGGCCCUGCUUCUGUGGGGUGCUCGAGUGGCGAACGGGUGAGUAACACGUGAGUAACCUGCCCUUGACUUUGGGAUAACUUCAGGAAACUGGGGCUAAUACCGGAUAGGAGCUCCUGCUGCAUGGUGGGGGUUGGAAAGUUUCGGCGGUUGGGGAUGGACUCGCGGCUUAUCAGCUUGUUGGUGGGGUAGUGGCUUACCAGGGCUUUGACGGGUAGCCGGCCUGAGAGGGUGACCGGCCACAUUGGGACUGAGAUACGGCCCAGACUCCUACGGGAGGCAGCAGUGGGGAAUAUUGCACAAUGGGCGGAAGCCUGAUGCAGCAACGCCGCGUGCGGGAUGACGGCCUUCGGGUUGUAAACCGCUUUCGCCUGUGACGAAGCGUGAGUGACGGUAAUGGGUAAAGAAGCACCGGCUAACUACGUG